rnacentral:rRNA from 1 species
CAGACCGUCGGUGACCCGGCCGAUUGCCCGGCGGUAGUUGAUUGCUCUCAUUGAGGUAAUGGGCCGCAUUAAGUGCGUCAAGGCUCGUAGGCAGGCUCGUCUCGCUCGGUUAUCACGGACUAUGCGCCGUUGCCGAGCGCUUGACGUGGCUGUUCGUCCACGAUGUCCUCUGACUGGCUCUUGCGUUCGAACGGACGUACCGGUCGGCGACGCUACUGCUUCGGAUACUUUCAGGACCCGUCUU